rnacentral:rRNA from 1 species
UACGUAGGGGGCUAGCGUUGUCCGGAUUUAUUGGGCGUAAAGAGCGUGUAGGCGGCCAGGUAGGUCUGCUGUGAAAACUCGAGGCUCAACCUCGAGACGUCGGUUGAAACCGUACGGCUAGAGUCCGGAAGAGGAGAGUGGAAUUCCCGGUGUAGCGGUGAAAUGCGCAGAUAUCGGGAAGAACACCCGUGGCGAAGGCGGCUCUCUGGGACGGUACUGACGCUGAGACGCGAAAGCGUGGGGAGCAAACAGG